CCCAGACUCCUACGGGAGGCAGCAGUGGGGGAUAUUGCACAAUGGGGGGAACCCUGAUGCAGCGACGCCGCGUGGGUGAAGGAGCGUUUCGGCGCGUAAAGCCCUAUCGGCAGGGAAGAAGGAGGACGGUACCUGACUAAGAAGCCCCGGCUAACUACGUGCCAGCAGCCGCGGUAAUACGUAGGGAGCGAGCGUUGUCCGGAAUUACUGGGCGUAAAGGGCGCGUAGGCGGGAACUUAAGUUAGAUGUGAAAACUCCGGGCUCAACCUGGAGACUGCAUUUAAAACUGGGUUUCUUGAGGGCAGGAGAGGAAAGUGGAAUUCCUAGUGUAGCGGUGAAAUGCGUAGAUAUUAGGAGGAACACCAGUGGCGAAGGCGACUUUCUGGACUGUACCUGACGCUGAGGCGCGAAAGCAUGGGGAGCGAACAGGAUUAGAUACCCUGGUA
rnacentral:rRNA from 1 species